AACGAACGCUGGCGGCAUGCCUAACACAUGCAAGUCGAACGAGACCUUCGGGUCUAGUGGCGCACGGGUGCGUAACGCGUGGGAACCUGCCCUUAGGUUCGGAAUAACUCCCCGAAAGGGGUGCUAAUACCGGAUAAUAUCUUCGGACCAAAGAUUUAUCGCCUUUGGAUGGGCCCGCGUUGGAUUAGCUAGUUGGUAGGGUAAAAGCCUACCAAGGCGACGAUCCAUAGCUGGUCUGAGAGGAUGAUCAGCCACACUGGGACUGAGACACGGCCCAGACUCCUACGGGAGGCAGCAGUGGGGAAUAUUGGACAAGGGGCGAAAGACUGAUCCAGCAAUGCCGCGUGAGUGAUGAAGGCCUUAGGGUUGUAAAGCUCUUUUACCCGGGAUGAUAAUGACAGUACCGGGAGAAUAAGCUCCGGCUAACUCCGUG
rnacentral:rRNA from 1 species